GGGAGAGGGAGGGAGGUCAGCCGGUGCUACAGCAGUGCGAUUAACCAGCGGGGAGAGAGAGAGAAAGAGAGGAGAGAGAGGAAAACUUGAUCCACCGCAGCAACAAGUCACCGGAGCCCCCCACCGCCGUGCGGGAGAUGCAGCCACAACCGCAGUUCUUCGCUCGGGGACCCCCCUCCGCACAGCACGCAGAGCCCCGCCGCCGCCCCCUCGCACGCCGGACGGAGCUGUCCUCCCCACCCGGGGAAGAAGGACCGGGGUGAAGGGGAGUAGAGGGGGGGAAAGGGAAGGGAGAGAAGAAAAAAAAAAAAAAAAAAAAAAAAAAAGAAUUAAAAAGAAGCCAAGCGCAGAUUUACCUCAGCCGCGCAGGCAGUGAAUCACUUCCAUC